CCUACGGGAGGCAGCAGUGAGGAAUAUUGGUCAAUGGACACAAGUCUGAACCAGCCAUGCCGCGUGCAGGAUGACGGUCCUAUGGAUUGUAAACUGCUUUUGUACGAGAAGAAACAACAUUACGUGUAAUGUCUUGACGGUAUCGUAAGAAUAAGGAUCGGCUAACUCCGUGCCAGCAGCCGCGGUAAUACGGAGGAUCCAAGCGUUAUCCGGAAUCAUUGGGUUUAAAGGGUCCGUAGGCGGUUUAGUAAGUCAGUGGUGAAAGCCCAUCGCUCAACGGUGGAACGGCCAUUGAUACUGCUAGACUUGAAUUAUUAGGAAGUAACUAGAAUAUGUAGUGUAGCGGUGAAAUGCUUAGAGAUUACAUGGAAUACCAAUUGCGAAGGCAGGUUACUACUAAUUGAUUGACGCUGAUGGACGAAAGCGUGGGGAGCGAACAGGAUUAGAUACCCUGGUAG
rnacentral:rRNA from 1 species